AUUGAACGCUGGCGGCAGGCCUAACACAUGCAAGUCGAGCGGAGCGGCGGACGGGUGAGUAAUUCCUACGAAUCUGCCUGGCAGUUGGGGAUAACGUCCGGAAAGGGGCGCUAAUACCGCAUACUAUCAGAUGAGCCUAGGUCGGAUUAGCUAGCUGGUGGGGUAAGGGCCUACAAAGGCGACGAACCGUAACUGGUCUGAGAGGAUGAUCAGUCACACUGGAACUGAGACACGGUCCAGACUCCUACGGGAGGCAGCAGUGGGGAAUAGUGGGCAAUGGGCGAAAGCCUGAUGCAGCCAUGCCGCGUGUGUGAUGAAGGUCUUCGGAUUGUAAAGCACUGUAAUUUGGGAGGCGUUACCAACAGAAUAAGCAACGGCUAACUACGUGCCAGCAGCCGCGGUAAUAC
rnacentral:rRNA from 1 species